GAGGGACUGUGGCUCAGUGGUAGAACAUAUGCUUGGGAUGCAGAAGGUUCCAGGUUCAAUCCCUGGCAUCAUCA
rnacentral:tRNA from 1 species